GAUGAACGCUGGCGGCGUGCUUAACACAUGCAAGUCGAACGAAGCACUUUAUUUGAUUUCCUUCGGGACUGAUUAUUUUGUGACUGAGUGGCGGACGGGUGAGUAACGCGUGGGUAACCUGCCUUGUACAGGGGGAUAACAGUUGGAAACGGCUGCUAAUACCGCAUAAGCGCACAGCAUCGCAUGAUGCAGUGUGAAAAACUCCGGUGGUAUAAGAUGGACCGGCGUUGGAUUAGCUAGUUGGUGAGGUAACGGCCCACCAAGGCGACGAUCCAUAGCCGAGCUGAGAGGGUGACCGGACACAUUGGGACUGAGACACGGCCCAAACUCCUACGGGAGGCAGCAGUGGGGAAUAUUGCACAAUGGGCGAAAGCCUGAUGCAGCGACGCCGCGUGAGCGAAGAAGUAUUGCGGUAUGUAAAGCUCUAUCAGCAGGGAAGAUAAUGACGGUACCUGACGAAGAAGCACCGGCUAAAUACGUG
rnacentral:rRNA from 1 species